rnacentral:rRNA from 1 species
CGAACGCUGGCGGCGUGCUUAACACAUGCAAGUCGAACGCGAAAGGGACUUCGGUCCUGAGUAAAGUGGCGGCACGGGUGAGUAACGCGUAGAUAACCUGUCUUCAUGUCUGGAAUAAUACGCCGAAAGGGGUACUAAUACCGGAUAUUCUUGCUUUUUCAUAAGUUAUGCAAGCAAAGGUGGCCUCUGCAUAUGCUACUGCAUGAAGAGGGGUCUGCGUACCAUUAGCUAGUAGGUGGGGUAAUGGCCUACCUAGGCGACGAUGGUUAGCGGGUCUGAGAGGAUGAUCCGCCACACUGGCACUGGAACACGGGCCAGACUCCUACGGGAGGCAGCAGUGAGGAAUAUUGCGCAAUGGGGGAAACCCUGACGCAGCGACGCCGCGUGAGUGAGGAAGGCCUUCGGGUCGUAAAGCUCUGUCAAGAGGAAAGAAGUGUACAAUGGCUAAUACCUGUUGUAUUUGACGGUACCUCUAAAGGAAGCACCGGCUAACUCCGUGCCAGCCGCCGC